GCCGGAUGGCAUACCUGGUUUAUUGACAAAUGUUGCAGAUGGUGUGAUUGCGCUUGCGCAUGGCGGUGCUGAUCGGGUUCAGGUUCCGCAUGGCCGUUGAGCUGGGGGACACAGUCCAGGCGGUGUGUGACGUGCAAACCUCAAUGAUCUAAAAAAUUGCAUAACACAACAUGUGCGAAACACCAUUCUUGAUGCAUUACAUUCCGCAGUUGAUCACGUCGCACACCGCCUGGAUUGUGUCCACCGGCUCGGUGGCCGUGUGGAGCCUGAACUUGGUCGGCGCCGCCAUGCGCAGGCGUGGUCGCAUUAUCUGUAACAUUUGUCAAUGGAUUGGGUAUGCCAUCCGGUUUUGCGUUUUAAUUCUUUGUUGUU
rnacentral:lncRNA from 1 species